rnacentral:rRNA from 1 species
GUGGGGAAUAUUGGACAAUGGGGGGAACCCUGAUCCAGACAUGCCGCGUGUGUGAAGAAGGCCUUUUGGUUGUAAAGCACUUUAAGCGAGGAGGAGGCUACCGAGAUUAAUACUCUUGGAUAGUGGACGUUACUCGCAGAAUAAGCACCGGCUAACUCUGUGCCAGCAGCCGCGGUAAUACAGAGGGUGCGAGCGUUAAUCGGAUUUACUGGGCGUAAAGCGCGCGUAGGUGGUUAAUUAAGUCAAAUGUGAAAUCCCCGAGCUUAACUUGGGAAUUGCAUUCGAUACUGGUUGGCUAGAGUAUGGGAGAGGAUGGUAGAAUUCCAGGUGUAGCGGUGAAAUGCGUAGAGAUCUGGAGGAAUACCGAUGGCGAAGGCAGCCAUCUGGCCUAAUACUGACACUGAGGUGCGAAAGCAUGGGGAGCAAACAGGAUUAGAUACCCUAGUAGUCC